CAGCCGCCACGGUAAUACGGAGGGAGCUAGCGUUGUUCGGAAUUACUGGGCGUAAAGCGCGCGUAGGCGGUUACUCAAGUCAGAGGUGAAAGCCCGGGGCUCAACCCCGGAACUGCCUUUGAAACUAGGUGACUAGAAUCUUGGAGAGGUCAGUGGAAUUCCGAGUGUAGAGGUGAAAUUCGUAGAUAUUCGGAAGAACACCAGUGGCGAAGGCGACUGACUGGACAAGUAUUGACGCUGAGGUGCGAAAGCGUGGGGAGCAAACAGGAUUAGAUACUCCCGUAGUCCCUGUCUCUUAUAC
rnacentral:rRNA from 1 species